GGAACAGGGUGGGCAUUUACUGUGGCGGGAUGGUGAAGCAGAUGAGUGGGGGCACCAGACCAAGGCAAGGCAUCAGUUGCUGUCAUCAGGGCGAGCCUCUGGUGGUUACUGAAAAUUCUUUGCUCCUGCACUCUGCUGUGGUGCUG